rnacentral:rRNA from 1 species
UACAGAGGGUGCGAGCGUUGUCCGGAAUUACUGGGCGUAAAGCGCACGUAGGCGGCUUUGUAAGUUAGAGGUGAAAGCCCGGGGCUCAACUCCGGAAUUGCCUUUAAGACUGCAUCGCUCGAAUUGUGGAGAGGUAAGUGGAAUUCCGAGUGUAGAGGUGAAAUUCGUAGAUAUUCGGAAGAACACCAGUGGCGAAGGCGACUUACUGGACACAUAUUGACGCUGAGGUGCGAAAGCGUGGGGAGCAAACAGG